rnacentral:rRNA from 1 species
UAGGGAAUAUUGGGCAAUGGCCGAGAGGCUGACCCAGCCAUGCCGCGUGCAGGAAGAAGGCCUUCUGGGUUGUAAACUGCUUUUAUCUGGGAAGAAAACGCCCAUGCGUGGGUAACUGACGGUACCAGAUGAAUAAGCACCGGCUAACUCCGUGCCAGCAGCCGCGGUAAUACGGAGGGUGCAAGCGUUGUCCGGAUUUAUUGGGUUUAAAGGGUGCGUAGGCGGCCCUGUAAGUCAGCGGUGAAAUCCCAGGGCUCAACCCUGGAACUGCCGUUGAUACUGCAGGGCUUGAGUUCGGUUAAGGCGGGCGGAACUGGUGGUGUAGCGGUGAAAUGCAUAGAUACCACCAAGAACCCCGAUUGCGUAGGCAGCUCGCUGAGCCGAAACUGACGCUGAGGCACGAAAGCGUGGGGAGCGAACAGG